GCCCAAUUUUAUUAACAUACGUUUACAUUCUAAGAUAAAGUAGAGAACCCACACAUCUACACUACCACAACACAGAAACAUUUUAUCAAACACAUGGUGAGCCAUCCAACCUGGAAGUACAGUACACACACAAUCACAAGAAGAUUCUCAUCCUAAGCAGAACAUUCAAUUUUAGAUUCUUACUUGUGUAUGGCGAACUCUACCCCCCAGUGAUCUCCACCACUCGGACAUCGCGUCUGCUCCGGUCAUCAUCUUCUUUAGGAACAAACACUGUAAGAAUCCCAAAAUCCAUAAACGCACUCAACUCCUCGAUUCUCCCAGUCUCCGGAAUCUUGAAUCUGCUAACGAAGCCGCCGCUCUCGGUGCUGAUCUGAAGCAUCCGGUCAUCCUGAAGCUCGACGAGAACGUCUUCACCGCCGAAGCCGGGAAGGGAGGCUCUGAGGACAUGAACGUUGGGUGUCUCAGUCCAGUCGAGGCGAGUGUUGACGGUGCCUCCCCAAGAGAAGGGGUCGGAGAUUGAGGAAGGGAAAGGGAAAUCGUGCCAUAGGUCGAGAGGGAAGGGGAAAUUUGGGAAGCGAUUGAGGAUGUUUGAAGGGGAAGUGUUGGAAAUACGGCCGUCUUGGCCGCCGAUUGGAAUGAUGGACAUCGUGGGUGAAGAUCUGAAAGCUGCGGCGAAAUUGCGAGUGAAAUUG
rnacentral:misc_RNA from 1 species